GCCCCGCCGCGUCUCGCCGCGUAGGUCCCGCGGAGGCGCUCGCCGGUGCCGGACGCGCAGUCCUUGUUCGGCGCUUCUCCCUUACCUCCUGCGACCUCUGAGCGCUGAUGUGACCACACUCAGUGGCGCCACAGCCUGCCCCAGCGCGCGCCGGAAAAUACUAUUGUUAUGAUAACCACUAGACCUGCCAGGAGCUCUUCUCUGUGCCAGUGUAAUGGACUCUUUGCAAAGAGAAGUGUCCAAUAUACUUAUUUUAAAGCACAUCUUGGCCUCUUACAAUGGUUGAAAGGCAGGAUGACAUUACCAAACAAUCUCAGUGCUUUGGAAGACAUUGGAAUUACAGUCAUACCUUGGUACUUGACAACUUUGAAACUCAUCAAAUUUGAUACUUGACUCAUUUUGACACGAAAACUUUGUCCUGGUACUCGUCAUUUCUUUGGUACUCAGUGCGCAAGCUAGAACUUGUCAGUGUCGGUUGCCUCCUGACUCACUACCCUUCCAGCCAAAACAAAAGGUCUGCAUUAGUCACAUGGUACCUUUUGCCCUGUACACAUCCCAUUGCCAUCUUAGCUUCUACGGUCAGUUUUUGCAUUUUUACAUUUUUUUUCCCCAUCAUGGGUCCUAAGAAAAUGAGCAAUAAUCGUGUUGAGCAGAAAAGAAAAUUACUUUGCACCACCAUUCAGCAAAAUAAAUAAAUAGUUAAACAUGAGAGUGGUAUUUGCAUUACUGAUCUUGUUAGGGAAUAUGGUAUGCCUAGAGCAACUGUCUCCACCAUCAUUAGGAAUAAAGAAGAGAGUUUUUAAAAAGGCUGAUGUUGUGAAAGGAGUUAAAGCAGUAACAAAGCAGUGUUCCCAAGCACUCGUGGAAGUUGAAAAGCUGUGAUUAAUUUGGGUAAACAAGCAGUUAGCGGGCGACAGUGUGCUGGAAGCCAUGAUAUGUGAAAAAGGGAAAGUGUUGGCUGCCAAUCUUUUGAAAAACAAACUGGGACCAAGUGAUGAGGGUGUUGAAGUUUUUAAGGCCAGCCUGGCUGAUUUGAUGAUUUUAAAAAGAAGACCUGCGUCCAUAGUGUUGUGAGGCAUGGUGAGGAAGCUAGUGCUAAUAAAAGGUGAUUGAUGAAUUUGUCAUUGAAUUUCAACAUUACAUAGAGACUAAGGUUCCCCCACCACCACCACCACC
rnacentral:lncRNA from 1 species